rnacentral:rRNA from 1 species
GAGUUUGAUCCUGGCUCAGAAUGAAAGCUAGCGGUAUGCCUAAUACAUGCAAGUCGUACGGAAAUUGAUCCUUCGGGAAAUUUUUUACGUGGCGGACGGGUGAGUAACACGUGAGAAUUUACCUUUAGGAAGAGGACAACUUUUAUAAAUAGAAACUAAUACUGUAUAUGCCUUACGGUGAAAGAAGUGAUUCUCCUAAUGAGGAGCUCGCGUCUGAUUAGCUAGUUGGUGGGGUUAGAGCCUAUCCGAGGCGACGAUUCGUAGCUGGUUUGAGAGGAUGAUCACCCGCAUUGGAACUGACACACGGGCCACACUCCUACGGGAGGCAGCACUAAGGAAUAUUCCGCAGUGGGCGAAAGCCUGACGGAGCAAUACCUCAUGAGGGAUGACCGCCUACAGGUUGUCAACCUCUUUUCUCGAGGACGAAGAACUGACGUUACUUGACGAAUAAGCGACGGCUAACCCUGUGCCACCAUCCGCGGUAAUACAGGGGUCGUACGUUUUAUUCGGAAUCAUUGUGCGUAAAACGUCUGCAGGUUGACAUAUUCAGUCUUUUGUUAAAUAUCAGAGCUUAACUCGUAAUCUGCAAAAGAUACUAUAUGUCUUGAGUAUGGUACAUGUAGGUGGAAUUUCCACUGUAGCGUUGAAAUGCGUAGAUCUUAGUAAGAACGCCGAUAGCGAAUGCACCCUACUGAGCCAUUACUGACACUCGGAGACCAACGCUAGGGCAGCAUACUGGAUUAGAUACCACGGUAGUUCUAGCCGUAAACAUAGAUACUAGAUGUUGUAUACAUUUAUGUACACAGUGUAGUAGCUAACGCGUUAAGUAUGGAGCAUGGGAAGUACGCUCGCAAGGGUGAAACUCAAAGGAAUUGACGGGGGCCCGCACAAGCGGUGGAGCAUGUGGUUUAAUUCGAUGCAACGCGAAGAACCUUACCAGGACUUGACAUGAAGAGAAAUUUUUCGAAAGUAAAAUGUGCUAAGGCCUCUUACACAGGUGGUGCAUGGCAGUCGUCAGCUCGAGUCGUGAGAUGUAUGGGUUAAGUCCAGCAACGAGCGCAAUCCUUGUCUCUAGUUGAUACUCUAGAGAGUCUGCGGAUUAUAAAUCGGAGGAAGGUGAGGAUGACGUCAAGUCAUCAUGCUCCUUACGUCCUGGGCUACACACGUGAUACAAUGGGUGUGACAAUUAGUUCACAAUUCGCGAGAAUGAGGUCAUCUUUAAACACAUCUUUAGUUCAGAUAGUAGGCUGCAACUUGCGUACAUGAAGGUGGAAUAGCUAGUAAUCGCAGGUCAGCAAUAUUGCGGUGAAUCCGUUGCCGGGCUUUGUACACACCGCCCGUCACACCAUGGGAGCCGGUUAUACCGGAAGCUGUUAUCGUAACCUUUUUGGAGGGAGACAUCGAAGGUAGAAUUGGUGACUGGGGUGAAGUCGUAACAAGGUAACC